UACGUAGGGUGCAAGCGUUAAAUCGGAAUUACUGGGCGUAAAGCGUGCGCAGGCGGUUUUGUAAGUCUGUCGUGAAAUCCCCGGGCUCAACCUGGGAAUUGCGAUGGAGACUGCAAGGCUAGAAUCUGGCAGAGGGGGGUAGAAUUCCACGUGUAGCAGUGAAAUGCGUAGAGAUGUGGAGGAACACCGAUGGCGAAGGCAGCCCCCUGGGUCAAGAUUGACGCUCAUGCACGAAAGCGUGGGGAGCAAACAGG
rnacentral:rRNA from 1 species